rnacentral:lncRNA from 1 species
UAAAUGCUUUGCCAGCAGUACGGUGUCAUCGGCUUAUUGAAAAAUUGCGCAUUUUGAAACAGUGGCCGCAAGGUCAUUCAUAAAAAUAUUUGGGUUAAAAGC